GAGACAGUGAUACUUUGACGGUUAAAAUGACAAUGACCUUAGAAAUCUGUGAGAUGGUGAAAUUUUAGGGGUAUUGUUUGGGAGAUAUGAUUUCCGCCCCUGCUAUCAACAGGAACUUGGGUUUGCUAAAGUGGUAAUGGAUUACAGAGGGGUUUGUGCUGUGCUUGCGAAAUCCAUAUUGCGUAACAACAACAUGCUAUUGCAGAAGCUCAAAAUCCCUAGUGUCAUUGGCCAAGACAGCUCUAAAUCUAAGCUUGUUCCUUUUGGCAAUACAUCUCAUAUGAGGAUAUUGGCACUCUAAGUGGUUAUCUGCAAAAUCUGAUUUCACUAGCAGCCUCUGCGCUCUCUGGGGGGAGCCUCGGGGUUUUCCACCAUUCCUUUAGGUGUGUCUGUGCAUGAGAUGGAAAGAGGUGAUCAGAAGUUUAAGUGAAUAGCCACUUUUGAUAAUUGCAGAUGACUUAUACUCAACUAUGGGAAUUUGAGGUCUUUGAUUUACACUUCUUUUGUCUCAACUUUUUGCUAGCUUUACUGUUCAUGGGUUUCUUGAUGUCAUCUUCUGUUGAUUUAUGUAUAACUGGACAACAUUAUUUUUUGGUGAAUUAACCUUUCCAAAAUAGUUGUACUGUUCUUUAUCUGUUUUCAUGCUUUUCCAAAACCAACAUUUGGCUUUGGUGCUGCCGGUGAAGGUUGAUUGGCUAUGGGGUUCUUCUGUUGUCUCCCCCAUCCUCAGCAUUUUGUUUGACUUUUUUAAUGUUCUUUAUGGAUGUUGGUUUACCCGACACUGUGCUCUAUCCUUGUUAUUCUGUUAUGGAUUCUUUUUUUAAUUUCAUUUUGCAAUCCUCUAUCCGGAGGCAACAUGAUUCAUUCUGCUGCAUAUACAUUUAGUCCUAAAAACUUUUUAACCCUUUAAAGAUCUAUUGGUUGUGAUGGAUAGAGAAAGGUUAUCAUUAUCCGCUCAAAUUUCAACAACGGAUCAGAUUAUUGCUUACUGUGGGCCAAAGGUAUGUCCCGGAGAUAUUCUUGAUCUAUAAUUUUUUUCUUCUUCUUUUGCCUGCAUUCAGAUACAGUUUUUAGCAGGAGACUUCUUGUUUAUUGGGAUACGAAGGCAAGAAAAUAUUCUUCGAGAGUUUAAGCAGGAGACUUCUUGUUUUUUGUAUUAUUCCAUUGAGGGAGUAAUGAGAAAUGACGUGUGAUAUUUUGUUGAUUUUGGGUUCUGACAUUUUGGAUACUUGUGAAGAACUAUAAUCAAAACUAUAAUAAAUAAAGGGAAAAAUGUUUGUCCUUUUAAAUGACACAACUUAUAUCCUUUCACUCUCACAAAGAGGUGAGACUCACUUUUAUAUUUUUCUGUUCACUCUCUCUCCUCCUUUAUCUAUAUCUUUUUCUCACUUAAAAUGACACAAUUUUACAUUCUUUAAAAUGAUACACACUUUUUCCAUAAAUAAAUUACCAUUAUACUAUUGAACAGAUUAUAUAUAUUUUUUUUUGGUACAUUACCAGGAGGUAUCUCCAUUCAACCUUCUCCGGGCACCAUGCCCUCGGGGUACGGCCCGUUUGGGCUAGCCCCUCAUUGUAACAGUGGGUGCACUAAGCUUCGCAACCGGAGAAAGGACGAGACUAAUCCCUCAACCGAAAUUUUUUUGGCUUAUCCUCUGGCCCCCAAAGAUUUUUCAAGAAAAUGCUUGAGGCAGGGUUUGAUCCCUGCACCAAACAAUCCCUUGGGAGCUCAGCUGCCAACUGAGCUACCCUUGGGGGUUAACAGAUUAUACUUUUAGUGAAUGGAAAAAUGUUUGUCCCUUUAAAGAAUAUAUAGUUAGUGUCAUUUUAAGAGAGAUAAAGACAUAAAUUAAUAUUUUUUUAUUUAAAAUUUAAGUUUAAAAAAAAAUACUCAGUUUCUCUCAUAUUUUUAUUAUUUGUGUCCUUUUCUUACUUAAAAUGAUAUAGUUGUAUAUUCUUUAAUAGGACAAUCACUAAAUCCUAAUUAUGGGCCGACAAGCACUAUUAUUUUCUACGGAGAUUGAGACUGAAUCUAAUCUUUUCUUGACUUUCCUUUUUAUGUUGUACCUGUUUAAACUUUCAGCAUCAUGUUUUACCUUUAUCAUAUUUUGUUAUCGGCGCAUAUCAUGGAGAUUCUUACUUCUGUCUCUAUAAUUUAGGAUUUUGUCUCCCCGUGCUUCUGUUUGAUUCCUUUGGGAAAGGAAGCGGGUCAUUAUUUUGGAGUUGUUAUGAUGGAUGAGAUUCCAAAUUUCAAUCUCUCCUUUUACAUUUUUUUUUCCCUUUUCAUGGACAUAAUUCUCCUUGAUUUAAGCUGAUAAAUUCAAAACUGUGAAGUGAACAUUGUAAUCAAUGACUCCUGCAUGUGUUUGGUCCGCUGUUGAGUGCUUUAAUUCCUGGAAUCCUUCCAAGGUCAUGGUCAAGGUCAAGGAUGCUUGCUAUUAAAGGGAUGGUAAAAUUGAAUGAUGUUGUCUUGCUGGGGAGCUAUAGGAAUGAGGUGAGGUAGGAGAUAAACAAAGGUCCCACCAUUGAUACCG